CUCACCUUCUUGGUUUUUGGACAGAGUACUAAAUGAAGAUACUAUCUGCUGCCUGGAUUUGUCUUGUGAGACACGAGUGUUUCCAGAACCUGGGAGAAGCACACAAUGCCCUGUUGGAGAACCUAAUGGCAAGGUGGUUAAGGCAGAGUGUGGGACAGCUGAAGGCAGAUGACUCAGGACCUCUGCACCCAGAGCAAGGAGGCGUCUGUGAGAGGGAGACAAGGCUUACAAAGGGCCUGAUGGAGACUUUGGGAGGAAGAACUAAUGGUGGACCUGGACUUAGGUCUUUGGCUUUUCAGUGAUGAAGGAAGCUGAGAAAAAGACAUUUCAGACUGAGCCCCCGAAACAUAGAAAUAAGAAGAAUAACUCUUAAGAUGGUAUUUAGGUACAGCUCUUAAGCAGCUACUCAGUAACCACACAAUAGGUGGUAAGAACAGCAGGAUUUCCAGUGACUCUGGGCCGCUGUCGGGCUUCUCCACCUGGGACCUGCAGACUCACCCUCAGGCAUCUGUGAGUGCUCUUGCAUGGUGAUGAAGAAUACAGGGCCUACUAGUUCUAUUUGGUGCCACUGCCUUGAUUUGUGUGAAAGUGACAGCAGUUCUACCCACCAUUUCUUUUGCACCAUCAAUACAAGUGUUAACACAGUGAAAAAGAUAAUGUCUUAGGAUGAUGAUGAUGAUGAUGAUGAUGAUGAUGAUGAUGAUGAUGAUGAUGAUGAAGAAGAAGGAGGAGGAGGAGAAAGAAGAAGAGAAGAAGAAGAAGAAAAUAUUUUUGAACGCAGAACCCCUGAAAGCUUCUCCAGGAUUACUGAGGGGUCUCAUGGACCAGAUUUAGAACCACUGAACUAGGGAGGGCCCUGCUGACAUAGCUACACUUUAAGCUUCUAGAAAGUAUUAGAUUAAGGGCCUCUUAAGAUUUUUUUCUCAGUGAGCCCAGAUUCUAACAACUUCUAACAACUUGAUAAGAAAAGCCUCUUAGGCCAAAGCUGGGAAGUUCUGAUCUCUCCUGAGAGAAGCUAACCCUUUGACCUCACA